UACAGAGGGUGCAAGCGUUACUCGGAAUUACUGGGCGUAAAGCGUGCGUAGUCGGUUAUCUAAGUCAGGUGUGAAAUCCCCGGGCUCAACCUGGGAAUUGCAUUUGAUACUGGAUAGCUAGAGUUCGGCAGAGGGAAGUGGAAUUUCUGGUGUAGCGGUGAAAUGCGUAGAUAUCAGAAGGAACAUCAGUGGCGAAAGCGACUUCCUGGACCAAUACUGACGCUCAUGUGCGAAAGCGUGGGGAGCAAACAGG
rnacentral:rRNA from 1 species